rnacentral:lncRNA from 1 species
AGGCUGAGGCAGUGAGAAUAACAAGGAAAAGGGCUGCAUGCCAAUAAAUCUAUUUGAGUCAUCUUUAUUAGUCCAGGGGAUGGAGGAUUAGAGCCCAGACUGAGACAGUAAGAGUAGAAAGGGACACAGAGAUAAGAGGCACUGAAGGAAACAACCAAAACAGUCAGGCUGGACUGAUGAAUGUAGAGGAGUAGGAAUACAGUGGUGGCCUGAAUGAAGCACCACCCCUGGAAUAAGAAUGCAGUUGCUCUGUAAAUCACAUUUUGGACACCAAGAUAUUAGACUCAUCCAGAUGCCUGAGGAAGAUGGUAUAAAGAACAAGGUAAUCUUGGAAAUAUAACAGGCAUGGGAGCCAGCUCAUGAAGACACAUAUGAGAAGUUCAGAUGUGUAAUACUAUGAAACUUGAACAUUGUCUUGUGGAUCACAUGAAGAAGGGUCAGAAAAAAUCACAGUAAGAAGUUAGCCAUUUGGAAGCCAAGGGGAAAGACCUCAAAAGACCUCAGCCUUGCAGAAAGACCUUAAUCUAGGACUUCUACUAUCCAUAAUUAUAAGCCAGUAUGUCUACAAGUCAAUCUGCCCCAUUUGAGAUUAAGAUGUGUGAUCUCAGUUCCUCCUUUACCCUGCCGGCAUGGACUCUAAGCCUCUGACACCAUAACCCAAGCGUACUCUUUUACUGAGGUCGACUUCAAGACUCCACUUCUUCAUAGUCCCAUCAUUUUCAUCCUGAGUGCAGAUCUUUACCACAUGUGCCUUUGUAGAACACUGAAGAUUCAGCUACAGUAAUGCUAAAAUAUGCUGUCUCAUACCUAGAUUGACCUGUAUCCCAAAUGUUCACACUCUGCUAUAUUCUUACUCAAAUCUAUACCUUUAUUUUAUCAAUGUAUUUUCAUUGUUCAUAAUAAAAUUUACUCCUGAAGCUU